rfam:Otolemur garnettii contig150631, whole genome shotgun sequence.
GCUAGGCGUAGUGGCGUGUGGUUGUAGUCCCAGCUACUUGGUAGGUUGAGACAGGAGGAGGAUCGCUUGAGUCCAGGAGUUCUGGGCUGUAGUGUCCUAUGCUGAUCGGGUGUCUGCACUAAGUUCAGCAUCAAUAUGAUGACCUCCUGGGAGUGGGAUGCCACCAGGUUGCCUAAGGAGGGGUGAACUGGCCCAGUUCGGAAACGGAGCAGGUCAAAGCUCCUGUGCUGAUCAGUAGUGGGAUGGCGCCUGUGAAUAGCCACUGCACUCCAGUCUGGGCAACAUAGUGAGACCUUGUCUCUU